GACGAACGCUGGCGGCGUGCUUAACACAUGCAAGUCGAACGGAAAGGCCCUGCUUGCAGGGUGCUCGAGUGGCGAACGGGUGAGUAACACGUGGGUGAUCUGCCCCUUACUUUGGGAUAAGCCUGGGAAACUGGGUCUAGUACUGGAUAGGACCAUGCUGUAGGUGGUGUGGUGGAAAGAUUAGUUUCGGUAAGGGAUGAGCUCGCGGCCUAUCAGCUUGUUGGUGGGGUAAUGGCCUACCAAGGCGUCGACGGGUAGCCGGCCUGAGAGGGUGGACGGCCACAUUGGGACUGAGAUACGGCCCAGACUCCUACGGGAGGCAGCAGUGGGGAAUAUUGCACAAUGGGCGCAAGCCUGAUGCAGCGACGCCGCGUGGGGGAUGACGGCCUUCGGGGUGUAAACUCCUUUCAGCCAUGACGAAGCCCUUGUGGUGACGGUAGUGGUAGAAGAAGCACCGGCUAACUACGUG
rnacentral:rRNA from 1 species